rnacentral:rRNA from 1 species
UACACUCCUGCGGGAGGCAGCAGUGGGGAAUUUUGGACAAUGGGCGAAAGCCUGAUCCAGCAAUGCCGCGUGAGUGAAGAAGGCCUUCGGGUUGUAAAGCUCUUUUGUCAGGGAAGAAACGGUGAAAGCUAAUAUCUUUUGCUAAUGACGGUACCUGAAGAAUAAGCACCGGCUAACUGCGUGCCAGCAGCCGCGGUAAUACGUAGGGUGCAAGCGUUAAUCGGAAUUACUGGGCGUAAAGCGUGCGCAGGCGGUUUUGUAAGUCUGAUGUGAAAUCCCCGGGCUCAACCUGGGAAUUGCAUUGGAGACUGCAAGGCUAGAAUCUGGCAGAGGGGGGUAGAAUUCCACGUGUAGCAGUGAAAUGCGUAGAUAUGUGGAGGAACACCGAUGGCGAAGGCAGCCCCCUGGGUCAAGAUUGACGCUCAUGCACGAAAGCGUGGGGAGCAAACAGGAUUAGAAACCCCUGUAGUCCCAUGAU